rnacentral:rRNA from 1 species
GGAUGAACGCUGGCGGCGUGCCUAAUACAUGCAAGUCGAGCGAACAGACGAGGAGCUUGCUCCUCUGACGUUAGCGGCGGACGGGUGAGUAACACGUGGAUAACCUACCUAUAAGACUGGGAUAACUUCGGGAAACCGGAGCUAAUACCGGAUAAUAUAUUGAACCGCAUGGUUCAAUAGUGAAAGACGGUUUUGCUGUCACUUAUAGAUGGAUCCGCGCCGCAUUAGCUAGUUGGUAAGGUAACGGCUUACUAAGGCAACGAUGCGUAGCCGACCUGAGAGGGUGAUCGGCCACACUGGAACUGAGACACGGUCCAGACUCCUACGGGAGGCAGCAGUAGGGAAUCUUCCGCAAUGGGCGAAAGCCUGACGGAGCAACGCCGCGUGAGUGAUGAAGGUCUUCGGAUCGUAAAACUCUGGUAUUAGGGAAGAACAAAUGUGUAAGUAACUAUGCACGUCUUGACGGUACCUAAUCAGAAAGCCACGGCUAACUACGUG